AUUGUUCGCCAAACAACUACGAGCAACAGCUUAAAACUUAAAAGACUUGACGGUGCUUUACCCCGACCUAGAGGAGCCUGUCUAACAACCGACACCCCACGAUUAACCCAACCCCCCCUUGCCCAACAGUCUAUAUACCGCCGUCGCCAGCCUACCUUGUAAAAGAAAUAAAGUAAGCCCAAUAGUAUUACACUAAAACGACAGGUCGAGGUGUAACCCAUGGAGGGGCCACGAUGGGCUACAUUCUCUCUCCGAGAACACGGACAGUACCCUGAAACUAGUACUUAAAGGCGGAUUUAGCAGUAAAAUAGGAACAGAACACCUAAUUGAACACACGCAAUGAAGCACGCACACACCGCCCGUCAUCCCUGCUAUAC
rnacentral:rRNA from 1 species